rnacentral:rRNA from 1 species
UGGGGAAUAUUGCACAAUGGAGGGAACUCUGAUGCAGCGACGCCGCGUGAGUGAUGAAGGAAUUCGUUUCGUAAAACUCUGUUCUAUGGGAAGAAAAGGACUGUACCAUAGGAGAAAGCUCCGGCUAAAUACGUGCCAGCAGCCGCGGUAAUACGUAUGGAGCGAGCGUUGUCCGGAAUUAUUGGGCGUAAAGGGUGCGCAGGCGGCUUUACAAGUUGGAUGGGAAAUAUUGUGGCUCAACCACAAACGUGCAUCCAAAACUGCAAAGCUUGAGUUAAGGGGAGGUAAGGGGAAUUCCUGGUGUAGCGUGGGAAUGCGUAGAUAGCAGGAGGAAUACCGGUGGCGAAGGCGACUUACUGGACUUAAACUGACGCUCAGGCACGAAAGCGUGGGGAGCAAACAGG